CAUCUUGUCUUUUAUCUCGCCACAUAAGAUAACAAAUGUUUACUCUUGUACCAGACCAGUCCAUACGAAUACAACUGAGGGAUUGUUUUCUUGAUUGAUCUUGACUGAAUUAAUGGCUGCUGAAACUAAGGCUUUACCAUCACAGGUUUUCCUGUAAUUUUCAUUGUUUUGGAAGUCUCAAGUGUUUUAAGUGUCAGUCAUCAGUAGAUCAGUAUGGGGUUGAUUUCUCUUCCUCUAGUUCUCUUGCUGAUUUCAAACAUUCACUCUGAACAAACUGAAGAUGUAAAACCAACUCUGACUGUGCAGCCACAGACGUCUGUGUUCAUUGGAGACACAGUUACUCUGACCUGUGAGAUUCAUCAGUCCACUGGAUGGGAGUUUAUCUUCAUAAACCCUUCAAACACUGAAUCCACUGAAACUACAGGAACUAAAACAAUCAGAUCUGUGCAAGUCUCUGAUGCAGGAGAGUACAAGUGCAGAGCCAGAAGAAAAGAAAACCCUCAGGUUUACACACAAUACAGUAAACCAAUAACAGUGAGAGUAA